CUACGGGUGGCAGCAGUGAGGAAUAUUGCACAAUGGGGGGAACCCUGAUGCAGCAACGCCGCGUGGAGGAUGACGCAUUUCGGUGUGUAAACUCCUUUUAUAUGUCAAGAAAAUGACGGUAGCAUAUGAAUAAGCACCGGCUAACUCCGUGCCAGCAGCCGCGAUAAUACGGAGGGUGCAAGCGUUACUCGGAAUCACUGGGCGUAAAGGACGCGUAGGCGGGUUGGAAAGUCAGGUGUGAAAUCCUACAGCUUAACUGUAGAACUGCACCUGAAACUUCUAAUCUAGAGUAUGGGAGGGGGAGAUGGAAUUAGUGGUGUAGGGGUAAAAUCCGUAGAUAUCACUAGGAAUACCUAAAGCGAAGGCGAUCUCCUGGAACAUUACUGACGCUAAGGCGUGAAAGCGUGGGGAGCAAACAGGAUUAGAUACCCUUGUAGUC
rnacentral:rRNA from 1 species